CUGAAUAGAAUUCUAAUGUGUUUUCCAAACACAGUUAACAAGGAUUCAAGGAAGGUGGUUAUUCAAACUCGACUGCGAUAACUAAUCAUCAAUCAAGUUUCAGAGCAUGGGUCUAGCUCAAAGCGCCGAAGCUGCGGCACACGUCACCCAAACCCAAACCCAAACCCAAACCCAAACCUCAACCCAGACCUCAACCUCGAACAAUUCUAAUUCCACUUCCCUCGAUUCCGUUCUUGCAGAAGCUGCGGCAUAUGGAAACAACGAUGACACUGAAGAGUCUAUUGAGGCGAAGGCUCAGAGAGCUCUAGAAUGUCCUUGCAUUGCUGACUUGCGAACUGGUCCCUGCGGCUUCCAGUUCUCGGAGGCGUUUCUCUGUUUUCUAAAGAGCACUGCUGAAGAAAAGGGAUCAGACUGCGUAAGUCCAUUUGUCGCCCUGCAGAGCUGCAUCAAGGCCAACCCAAAUGCAUUUUCUAAAGAUGUUCUAGGUGAAGAUGAAAGUGAGAAGCCUGAAUCAACGCAGGAAUAUAAGAUACUUCCUCCACAAUGGUCUAGGGAGCCACAAAGUCCAAAAUCCAGGCUUUAAGAGAAGAGUUUGAUUCUCUCCAUUGCGGUUCAGAUAGAAGUACACGCAAAGUUCAUUUUAAAUUUACCUUUAUCCUAAUAGUCAAAAGGUCAUGCAAUUAUUUCAGCCUUUGUUUAUGGAUCAUUUUGUCUUUGUUUAUGAUAGCUAUGAAAGUAACAGAGUCAACAGAGAACUACGGGAUCCAUGCACAUCUAACAAUAAGUCCACACAUUUUGUUAUCUAGUGAUAUUUUUAUAAUCUUGAGAUAGAUGCCAAGAUUCAAGCUCUUUUUUUUUUUUUUUUUUUUUUUAC